CUCUACCAGCUCCACAGGUUCCACGGAUUCAGGGACAGACACAUCUGGCUUUACCGGCACCGCCGCAGACUCAGGGACAGGCGCCACAGCAGUUGCAUUAUGGCAGGGUGUAUAACCCCAAGCCACAGGAUGUUCAGGCACCUCAGACUAUUGAGGGUGUACGUCAGUUCCAGGCUUGAGCUUGUUCGUGCAGAGCAGAGACGAUCUUCCAUUCUACCGAAGAUGUAGGGUUUCUUUCCAGAUCUUGGAUUUGGGUUUUAUCUUUUAUUUUACUUUCAUUUAGUGUGAGACUUUUAUUAGGGGUCCACUAGAGAUGGAUUCCCGAGUUGUUCAAAUUAUGGAUAUUUGGUUUAUCAAAUUUAAGUAUUUAAUUAUUUAAGGAUUAUCUUUUA